rnacentral:rRNA from 1 species
GGGCGAUGUUUGAUCCUGGCUCAGAGCGAACGCUGGCGGCGUGCCUAACACAUGCAAGUCGAACGUGAAAAGGGGCAACCCUGAGUAAAGUGGCGUACGGGUGAGUAACGCGUAGGUAAUCUACCCCAGAAUCUGGAAUAACCGGCCGAAAGGCUGGCUAAUACUGGAUAGAGCGAUGGAAUCCGUAAUUGGGUUUUUCGGGAAAGGGAGCCUGUAAGGGCCUUCGUUCUGGGAUGAGCCUGCGUCUCAUUAGCUAGUUGGCGGGGUAAUGGCCCACCAAGGCUAGGAUGGGUAGCCGGCCUGAGAGGGCGACCGGCCACACUGGGACUGAGACACGGCCCAGACUCCUACGGGAGGCAGCAGUGGGGAAUAUUGCACAAUGGGCGAAAGCCUGAUGCAGCGACGCCGCGUGAGGGAUGAAGGCCUUCGGGUUGUAAACCUCUUUCAGCAGGGAAGAAGCGAAAGUGACGGUACCUGCAGAAGAAGCAA